rnacentral:tRNA from 1 species
UGGUUUGAUGCGGUUGGCUUGAACCAGCAUGUGAGGGUUCGAUUCCUUCCUUUCUUG